AUCGCUUCUCGGCCUUUUGGCUAAGAUCAAAGUGUAGUUAAAUCUGUUCUUUACGGCUUAAUCUCCGUAACGACCCCUACCGGGGUCAAAAGAGAUUAACCAAUUUUUGGAAAAUGGUCGCAGUUGGGGGCUUGCUCCCUCUCGACCGCGCGUCGUCCCGGUAUUGCACUUACUUCCGGGCACGGCGCAUCUCCC
rnacentral:snRNA from 1 species